rnacentral:rRNA from 1 species
GCUGGGUGGAGGAUGAAGGCCUUCGGGUUGUAAACUCCUGUCAUUCGAGAAUAAAGCAGACACGUUAACAACGGGUCUGUCUGACGGUACCGGAAGAGGAAGCCACGGCCAACUCUGUGCCAGCAGCCGCGGAAU